rnacentral:rRNA from 1 species
GAAUUGACGGGGGCCCGCACAAGCAGUGGAGCAUGUGGUUUAAUUCGAAGCAACGCGAAGAACCUUACCAGGGCUUGACAUCCCUCUGACCGGUGUAGAGAUACACCUUCCCUUCGGGGCAGGGGAGACAGGUGGUGCAUGGUUGUCGUCAGCUCGUGUCGUGAGAUGUUGGGUUAAGUCCCGCAACGAGCGCAACCCUUGUCGUUAGUUGCCAUCAUUAAGUUGGGCACUCUAACGAGACUGCCGGUGACAAAUCGGAGGAAGGUGGGGACGACGUCAAAUCAUCAUGCCCCUUAUGUCCUGGGCUACACACGUACUACAAUGGCGACUACAGAGGGCAGCAACAUCGCGAGGUAGAGCAAAUCCCCAAAAGUCGCCCCAGUUCGGAUUGCAGGCUGAAACUCGCCUGCAUGAAGUCGGAAUUGCUAGUAAUGGCAGGUCAGCAUACUGCCGUGAAUACGUUCCCGGGCCUUGUACACACCG